GGGCGCAUGGUGUAGUUGGUUUAUCACGCUCGCUUAGCAAUUUCCGAAAUCUGCGAGAGGUGUUGGGUUCAAUUCCCAAUGCGUCCA